rnacentral:misc_RNA from 1 species
AUAUUAGAAACAAAAAUCCAAGGGCAGCAACACCCAUCAUUUUUACCAAAAAGAUGCUAUAUCCUGUCACUAAAGCAACUCAUCGGUUUUAUCAUACACAAUCACAGCGUCGACUUACAGUCGACGACAGUACAUCUUAUUGCAGAAACUUAACUCAUAAAAGUAGCCUUGAAGCUCAAGAACAUGUAAUAAAUAUUCUGAACAAGAACCUGGACGAUCAACUUCAUUCCAAAUGCUGUGUAACAACGAAUCUAAUGUUGUGCCCACUGUAUACUCUUUAUAUCAAUUCCCUCUUUAACCAUUUCAUAGAGUGGGCUCAUUUCCCUUAAUUUCUCAACCUGCUUGACUGUAAGAUCUACAGCACGAUCAAUUUCUUGCUCAGUACUAAACCUCCCAAUUCCAUAUCGAAUCGACGUAUGGGCCAUAUCUUCUUCAACACCCAACGCCCUCAACACGUAGGAGGGCUCCAAACUUGCACUGGUACACGCACUUCCACUCGACACUGCAACCUCCUUCAGACCCAUCAACAAGCUCUCACCUUCCACAUAUGCAAAGGAUAAGUUCAAAUUCCCAGCAUAUCGCCUUUCAACACUUCCAUUUAUAACAACCCCAUCAAUCUUAGACCUUAUACCAUUCAGCAACCUCUCCUGCAAAGCUUUAAUCCUCUGCUCGUCAUAUUCCAUUUCCUUCAUUGCAAGUUCACAAGCUGCCCCAAACCCUACCACUAGCGGAGUAGGUACUGUCCCACUCCUAAUCCCUCUUUCUUGUCCACCCCCAUUCAUCUGGGGCUCAACCCUAAUUCUUGGCCUACGCCUCAUAUACAAAGCGCCAACACCUUUUGGCCCAUAAAUUUUAUGCCCACUUAACGACAUCAAACUUAUGUUCAUCUUCUCCACAUCAAUUGGAACCUUUCCCAACGCUUGUGCAGCAUCAGUAUGAAAAGGAACAUUAAAUUCCUUGCAAAUUUUCCCAAUUUCCUCCAUAGGCUGAAUAACACCAAUUUCAUUGUUCACCAUCAUAACUGAUACCAAGCCCGUAUCAGGCCUUAUUGCAGCCCGAAGCUUCUCCAGGUCAACAAGUCCAUCAGACUCAACGGGAAGGUAAGUUACAUCGAAGCCCUCUUGCUGUAAGUGACGGCAAGAAUCCAGAACGCAUUUGUGCUCCGUUUGAGUAGUAAUAACAUGUCGCUUCUUAUCUUUAUAGAAGUGCAGAACUCCCUUGACGGAGAUGUUAUUGGACUCAGUAGCACCUGAGGUGAAAAUUAUCUCCUUUGGAGAAGCUUUAACUAGGGUCGCGACUUGGGCUCGGGCCGCCUCAACUGCCUGAUCUGAUUCCCACCCGUAAUAGUGAGUUCGGGAAUGAGGAUUUCCGUAACGGGAGAUAUGAUAAGGAAGCAUAGCGUCAAGAACCCUAGGAUCCAUCGGAGAAGUUGCCUGCAUAUCUAGGUAUAGAGGUCUGCCGGAUAUUUUUACACCUUUCAUAGUAAUACCCGUAGUAUCCUCUUCAUACGGUUCUCCAACCGCCGCUGCCGCUGUGGAGAAAAGGCGGAGACGGCGUGUGCCAUGGCAGGGUUUAGGCACCGUGCGCCGCAACGCUGUCGUUAGAAACUUCGAAAACAUGAUUUCAAAGUUUCUAACGACAGCGUUG